CUUUGCUUGUACACGCUCGCAGUUUCGCUUUACUGAAAAACCUACUGCGUAAUCAACUUUUAACUAAAUUAUCAUCUCAGCAAAUUCAGAUGCAGUCAACCAUCAAGCCAACCCAUCGUGGAAAAGAAAUAAAGGAAGAAUAGAGAAGACGGGUGGUUGAAUGGCAUAUACACAGAAGUUAAUCAAGAACAUUCCACAGCAUUUAAGUGCGGGAAAACUAAACUCACAUUUAAACUCAUGCAAACUUUCGCGCUUGUCAAUUCUCAUGCAAC